AACAGGUUACUUGUGGUGCAGU
rnacentral:miRNA from 1 species